rnacentral:rRNA from 1 species
GGAUUGCCCUAGUAACGGCGAGUGAAGCGGCAACAGCUCAAAUUUGAAAGCUAGCCUUCGGGUUCGCAUUGUAAUUUGUAGAGGAUGAUUUGGGGAAGCCGCCUGUCUAAGUUCCUUGGAACAGGACGUCAUAGAGGGUGAGAAUCCCGUAUGUGACAGGAAAUGGCACCCUAUGUAAAUCUCCUUCGACGAGUCGAGUUGUUUGGGAAUGCAGCUCUAAAUGGGAGGUAAAUUUCUUCUAAAGCUAAAUAUUGGCGAGAGACCGAUAGCGCACAAGUAGAGUGAUCGAAAGAUGAAAAGCACUUUGGAAAGAGAGUUAAAAAGCACGUGAAAUUGUUGAAAGGGAAGCGCUUGCAAUCAGACUUGUUUAAACUGUUCGGCCGGUCUUCUGACCGGUUUACUCAGUUUGGACAGGCCAGCAUCAGUUUCGGCGGCCGGAUAAAGGCUCUGUGAAUGUGGCCUCCACUUC